rnacentral:rRNA from 2 species
GAGACCUCAGGUCAGGCGGGGCUACCCGCUGA